rnacentral:rRNA from 1 species
UACGAAGGGUGCAAGCGUUACUCGGAAUUACUGGGCGUAAAGCGUGCGUAGGUGGUUUGUUAAGUCUGUUGUGAAAGCCCCGGGCUCAACCUGGGGAUGGCAAUGGAUACUGGCAGGCUAGAGUGCGGUAGAGGGUAGUGGAAUUCCCGGUGUAGCGGUGAAAUGCGUAGAGAUCGGGAGGAACACCAGUGGCGAAGGCGGCUACCUGGACCAGCACUGACACUGAGGCACGAAAGCGUGGGGAGCAAACAGG